ensembl:snoRNA
CUGUUUUAGUGCCCUGGCAUUGCCUAAGGAUAGAUAAGAAAGCACAAAUCCCUUCCCACGAAGAUUCAAACUUCUUCUUCUGAGGCCUACAGAUUGACCUAAUAGC